rnacentral:lncRNA from 1 species
UAUAUAUAUAUAUAUAUAUAUAUCUUAAAAUACAAAAUACCAGUAUUUUCCUAAAAACUAGAAAAGGUACACAGCAAUCUGAUUUGGGUUCUAUAACUGCCAUACGUUAUUACACUGUCCAGUGACAUGGCCCCUUCUCUUCACCAAUGCCCCCAUUUACAAGGUAACCCAUGUGGAAAGAUCCUAGCUGAUGCGUUAGUGGAGCUCAGUUUUGCUCCACCAGGUCUACAGUCUUCUAGCAACCAAAAACCAAAGGGGCCCAGACCAAGAGCAGGUCCCAGGGAACCAGGUCUCAAGAUGUGGCUCGGAUGCUGACACCAUGUAAGACCUUGGACAUGCCACUGAACAUUUCUGCACUAGGCCAGCUUCUUCCUCAGUGAUGUGCAAGGAGUCAAGAAAGAUGACCAGGGAGUGUGGGUUCUAAGUUACUAUGAAGUGUGGGUUGCUUUGCCACUGGGCCUCAAACCAUUACCAAGAAAAGCUGCAGUCCCUGCAAAGAACAACUCUUCUCUGCCCAUCCACCUCCCUCCAGGACACAGAACCAUCUGGAAAGAUACAGUGCAGGGAAGAGGGGGAAAAGAGACCUCACAUGACACUUGGCAGGGCCUGAAGUAGAGGAAAGGUAGGAGAAUAGAGUGAAUCCUGCACCACAGACAUCACGCCACCAGGAAGAACCCCAGCUCAGAGCAUGGCAAGGCUGCUUGGGAACUGGGCAAUGGCUCAGAUGCAGACGACUGUGCCCUGCUCUUCCCCAUCUUGGCUGACAUUCCUCCUGGCACCCACUCAGCACACUCCUGGGCUCUGGCUAACAGGAGCUUUGGCCCCUCCCCUAGCCCAAGGAUUAAGUUUGCCUCCAGCAGUUCUGAGGCUGGGCUCUUCCAGGCCCUCCUCCCAAUCCCCUGUACCUGCUUCAUAAGAAAAAUCAUCAAUUAUGGAUGGCCCAACCUCUCAGGUCCCAAGUAGCAGAAACAUCACAGGUCCCAAUACCUUCCUCCUCCCACAAAGGGGUUCUUUUGUUUCCUAGACACCCACCAAUAUUUGGCCCUAAGGCCCAGGGACUGCUUGUCUCUCCCCUCCUGUCAGCCACUGAUCCCGUAUCUUAGCUGGAGAUUGUCUCCAAGCUCAGUCAAAGCCCAGAAUUCACAAGUAAAAAAGGACAGUGAGCUGACCCAGCUUCAAUCUUGCCUCAGUGGAUGCCAAGGGCCCUGCUGCAGGAGCCAGGGGUCAGGGCUGGGGUCAGGGCUACGGCCAGGAGGGACAGGAUCUCUGAAACCACAAACCUGACCCUUCCCUCAUAAUUCUGUAAGCCCAUCUUCAAUGAUUCCUAACCUUUUUUGACACCUUCAUGCCCCUCAAACACUUUAAAGCCUGCUUUGACACAAGAUGAGUUAGCUUCAAUUUGGAGCCACCAACCCCUGACCACUCUGACCUCCUGUUCCUCCCCUCAGUUCUAGCCAGGCCAAUGUCACCACACCUCUCACAGACUUGCUCACUCCUCAGAGGCACAGCCAUGUCCCACUGACCCCAGCUGGAGCCUCCCUUAGCUCCUGGAGUCACCACAGAUUCCCCUCUUUCAAAGCUCCUCUAUUCCCAGCCACACGAUUUAGCUCCCAGACCAACAAAGUCUAGGAGAACGUUCUGCAAGGAUGAAAAUGUUCUUCUGCAUUGUUCAAUUCGAUAGCCAUUAGCCACAUGUUUACUGAACACUUGAAGUGUGGCUAGCAACUGAUUUUUCAAAUUUAAUUUAGUUUAAUCCAUUCAUGUUAAUUAAUUUUAAUUUAAUUAGCUAUGUGAGGGUAGUGGCUACCAGAUUGGACAGUGCAGCCCUAGCCUACAUGUGUUAAUUUCACCUUCUCUAAAUAAGUUUCUUGACUCAAAAUUUUACAGGCCAUUUUUUACAUGUGUAUCCUCCAUGCAACUAAGCUUAUGAUAGAUAUUCAGCAAACUGUUACCUACCUGUAACCAUAUUGCAUAUAAAAGAGGCUGGCUUGGUCAAUGAAAUUUUCCUAACCUUGUGACAACUCCAGCAAACUCCAGUUUGGGACACUGCCUCUCACCUAGCCACACUAACUGUCUUGCCCUCCACAGGUACACAGUAUGAGGUGUGUUGGAAAGGAGAUGGUGCCUGUACUGUGGGGAUGUGGGAGCUCUGGCAUUUCCCUCCAACAGCAUCCAGAAUAAUCAUGAGAGGCUCCAAUCAUCUCCCCUUCACCAGAACAAAGGAAGCCACAUCGCAGUGGCACUUCCAUGACCUAGGGAGAGAGGAAUGCUGGAGAAAGGAAAGGAAAAGAAACUACAGGACCUUGUUUUCUCUAAUCCACGCAAUGGAAAGAUACACAGAGAUAAGUUACGACAACAUUCUAUAUUUUAUAAAGCAGUAACAUGCUUCACCUAAUCAGAGUUGCACAGCAGAGAACAACGAUACAGUCUUUAAUUAAAUUUGUUGAGCUAACACCUAAGGGUCACCAUGACACAGUGAAGCGGCAAGCAGCUGAGGAACCCUCCCGGGGAAUACAACUAAUUAAUACACAAGUGGGUUGAGACUAGGUGUCCUUAUCAAAGAAGUAAUACAGGCCGGGCGCGGUAGCUCACACCUGUAAUCCCAGCACUUAGGCAGGCUGAGGCAGGCAGAUCACGAGGUCAGGAGAUCAAGACCAUCCUGAAUAACACAGUGAAACCCCAUCUCUACUAAAAAUACAAAAAAUUAGCCGGGCAUGGUGACGGGCGCCUGUAGUCCCAGCUACUCAGGAGGCUGAGGCAGAAUGGCGUGGACCUGGGAAGCAGAGCUUGCAGUGAGCCAAGAUCGUGCUACUGCACUCUAACCUGGGCGACAGAGCAACACUCUGUCUCAAAAAAAAUAAAAAUAAAAAUAAUAGAAUUCCCAUGUUCUUGUACAAAAAAUAGUAAGUAAGGUGCCUAUCAAAUACUCUCUUAAAAGGGGGAGGGAGUGGUUAAAAAAAUGCAUGAAGCUACUGUUGAAGUUCCCCUCCAACUUUGGGGACUGUUCUCAGGAGCAGCAAAUACCCAUCCAGCCCCCUUCGCUGACCUCCCCUCUUGUCAGUCAGGGCCUGAGGUGACAGAACAGCUCCUCAGGCUGGAAGCACCCUGGAGCAGCAGGUGGCCAUGUGCCUGAGCCCGUGGCUCAGUUAGGAAGUAAGUGGGAAGAAGCCUGAGACUGGGAGUCAGGCAACCUGGGUUCCAAUCCUGCCUCUGCCAAGUGAAUGGCUAUGGUACCUUGAACAAGUCACUCCCUCACUCUGGGCCUUGGUUUUCUCUUCUGCAAAAUAAGGGGGCUGGACAAAAUGACCUUUCAAGUCCCUUGCAACUCUGACUGGAAGCAUGACUCAGAACUUAGCAAAAGCAGCCAGGAGAGAUGGUGAGGUGAGGUCAAAGCACCCACCAAAAGCAUUUAAAUGGGAGCUCUCUGAGGUGGAGGGAGAGAAGCAGCAGGGUGAGCUGGGACUCUUUUUCAAAUGCUGAUUUCACUUAACAGGGCUAAGAGGUCACCGACUAUAGGCAGAGAGGAGAGCAUCUAAGCAGCUGCCAGCUCCCAUCAACUCUCAGGGCUGCAACAUAGCAGACUUCUGAACCCCAGCAGAGGCUGGGCUCCUGCCCUCCAGCUCUGCCCUAGCCCCCAGCAUUGGCCUCGGCACACUGUAGAAUAGAGGUCUCCUCCCCUUUUCUCAGGCACCUUCCCAAGGGGGUAAUCCCUCUUGCCCCACUCCAUCUUCCUCUCCUGCUUUAUAAUCACUAGACUUCUGGUUUUGAAAACCAUUUCACUACUCAGCACCUGAGGUUAAUCAAAAUUCAAGAUCUAGAAAUCUCUUUGGUGUGUGUCUCUGGAACAGCGUUCUUUGAACCAGAUUCCCCCCACAGCUGUAAUUAUGUCUCAGCCAAUAUUUGGAUAUGGAAGUGCUGUUAACACUGCUGUCAGUCUCCAAAUGCCUUGUCUCUCCUUUCUUCCUCCAUUAUUAAGUUUUAACACAAAGACGUGUGUGGGAAAUCCACAAUUUAACAGUUGAGUCAACUUAAAAGAUCUGGGAGCAGGCUGCCUGUCAAAACAGACUGACUUCACUCUUCGCCCACUUCUAACCUGAGAGGGAUAAACUAUGAGUGUUAUUUAACACGCUGCUGGAUUUUUCCUUCCAAAACUAUUCAAAGUAGAAAAAUAUGUAAACCUCUCUCUCGUUAGUUACAAGAGAAAUCUGAAUUGCCACUCAAAAGCAUUUUAUAGGAUGAUUUUGUGCGUGUGUCUAUUAAACAGAAUACAGAGCAGAAGUUGGGAGCUUUUGUUCUGAAGUCUUUACAUAAUAUUCCAAAUAUCCAAGAGAAUGAACAGCCAGUGUCCCCAAACUACUAAUGGGUGAAGGCAGAUGGUGUCUCAGAGGGGACAGCAAACACUCCUGUAAAGACCGUCUGUCACUUCCUCAAUGAUACAGGUUAACUGUGGUCAAACUGUAUUCACCCAACUCCAGUCCCCAAGGUCAGAGCCAUGCUCAAUCCAAACAACUCCUCCUCCUCCUUUCCCUUCAGUUAUGAGUAGGGAAAGAGAAGUCUAAGACACAAAUGUUGAAGUGUUGAAGAUACUUAUCCCCUCUCCAACAGUCAACACUAAACAACAACCGAGAUCCCAGAGCAAUAACUUACAGUAGAAAGCAAAGCACUGUAACAGGGUUGAGUAUGAGAGCAGCAGGAAAACAAUUCUAGAGGCCUUAAAAUCUAGAAAUGGAACAUGCUUGCCCCGUACAACCCCGAAGUACUGGUGUUUCUUUUAAAACAUCUGAUCGUAUAUUCCAAUAGUUCCACCCAUACCACAUUUCUGAGUUUUGUACUUGACAACUGAAAUACAGCUCGCUGUGGGGGCUGAAGGGGAAGAGAAAAAUAUAACACAGGAAGUAUUUUUCUCCUCCUCCAAUCAUUGAGACACCCCAGGGGAAACAGACCUGAGGCGUCACCUUUAGAGAUUGGUUUGACCUGAAACCCCUGUGAGAGGAAAACCUUGUUGGUGACCCUGCAAGACCGGCUCACACUUCACUGCGGACCCACCCAUCUCAUGAGACCUCCCAGUCCAUUGUGUUUAACUUCUGAAGUCGAUAUUCUCACUUGAAUCCUUAUUCUCCCCACCACCACACCCCUUAAAGAAAGAAAAGGGAUGGGCUCCCCCGGCUCAAGGAUAAUGUUUCCUCAGACUGCCCAUCACGGCGCGAGUCCAGGACAGCAAGUGGCCCUCUCUAGGAGGCGGAAUCAGCACGGGCCCGGCCGCGGGUUACAGACUCUGUU